AGCAGCCGCGGUAAUUCCAGCUCCAAUAGCGUAUAUUAAAGUUGUUGCAGUUAAAAAGCUCGUAGUUGAAUUUCGGGAUCAGUACGCUGGUCAUGCCUUUGGUAUGCACUGGUGUCACUGGUUUCUCCCUUCUGAAGAACCGUGAUGUCAUUAAUUUGGUGUCGCGGGGAAUCAGGACUGUUACUUUGAAAAAUUAGAGUGUUUAAAGCAGGCUCACGCUUGAAUACAUUAGCAUGGAAUAAUGAAAUAGGACGUUUGACCCUAUUUUGUUGGUUUCUAGGAUCGACGUAAUGAUUAAUAGGGAUAGUUGGGGGCAUUAGUAUUCAAUUGUCAGAGGUGAAAUUCUUGGAUUUAUUGAAGACUAACUACUGCGAAAGCAUUUGCCAAGGAUGUUUUCAUUAAUCAAGAACGAAAGUUAGGGGAUCGAAGACGAUCAGAUACCGUCGUAGUCUUAAACCAUAAACU
rnacentral:rRNA from 1 species